rnacentral:rRNA from 1 species
UACGAAGGGGGCUAGCGUUGUUCGGAUUUACUGGGCGUAAAGCGCGUGUAGGCGGGUCGUUAAGUUGGGGGUGAAAUCCCGAGGCUCAACCUCGGAACUGCCUCCAAAACUGGCGACCUGGAGCAGAUGAGAGGCGAGUGGAAUUCCGAGUGUAGAGGUGAAAUUCGUAGAUAUUCGGAGGAACACCAGUGGCGAAGGCGACUCGCUGGCAUCUUGCCGACGCUGAGACGCGAAAGCGUGGGGAGCAAACAGG